rnacentral:rRNA from 1 species
UCGAGCGGUAGAGAGAAGCUUGCUUCUCUUGAGAGCGGCGGACGGGUGAGUAAUGCCUAGGAAUCUGCCUGGUAGUGGGGGAUAACGUUCGGAAACGGACGCUAAUACCGCAUACGUCCUACGGGAGAAAGCAGGGGACCUUCGGGCCUUGCGCUAUCAGAUGAGCCUAGGUCGGAUUAGCUAGUUGGUGGGGUAAUGGCUCACCAAGGCGACGAUCCGUAACUGGUCUGAGAGGAUGAUCAGUCACACUGGAACUGAGACACGGUCCAGACUCCUACGGGAGGCAGCAGUGGGGAAUAUUGGACAAUGGGCGAAAGCCUGAUCCAGCCAUGCCGCGUGUGUGAAGAAGGUCUUCGGAUUGUAAAGCACUUUAAGUUGGGAGGAAGGGCAGUUGCCUAAUACGUAACUGUUUUGACGUUACCGACAGAAUAAGCACCGGCUAACUCUGUGCCAGCAGCCGCGGUAAUACAGAGGGUGCAAGCGUUAAUCGGAAUUACUGGGCGUAAAGCGCGCGUAGGUGGUUUGUUAAGUUGGAUGUGAAAUCCCCGGGCUCAACCUGGGAACUGCAUUCAAAACUGACUGACUAGAGUAUGGUAGAGGGUGGUGGAAUUUCCUGUGUAGCGGUGAAAUGCGUAGAUAUAGGAAGGAACACCAGUGGCGAAGGCGACCACCUGGACUGAUACUGACACUGAGGUGCGAAAGCGUGGGGAGCAAACAGGAUUAGAUACCCUGGUAGUCCACGCCGUAAACGAUGUCAACUAGCCGUUGGGAGCCUUGAGC